rnacentral:rRNA from 1 species
UACAGAGGUCCCAAGCGUUGAUCGGAUUCACUGGGCGUAAAGGGUGCGUAGGUGGUGAGGUAAGUCGGAUGUGAAAUCUCCGAGCUCAACUCGGAAAUGGCAUUGGAAACUACCUUGCUCGAGGGUUGGAGGGGGGACUGGAAUGCUUGGUGUAGCAGUGAAAUGCGUAGAUAUCAAGCGGAACACCAGUGGCGAAGGCGAGUCCCUGGACAACUCCUGACACGGAGGCACGAAAGCUAGGGGAGCAAACAGG